rnacentral:rRNA from 1 species
ACGGGGCCCGCACAAGCAGUGGAGUAUGUGGUUUAAUUCGAAGCAACGCGAAGAACCUUACCAGGGCUUGACAUCCCUUGAAGCAGCUAGAGAUAGCUGUGUCCUUCGGGACAAGGAGACAGGUGGUGCAUGGUUGUCGUCAGCUCGUGUCGUGAGAUGUUGGGUUAAGUCCCCGCAACGAGCGCAACCCCUGUGGUUAGUUGCCAGCAAGUAGCGUUGGGCACUCUAGCCAGACUGCCGGUGAUAAAUCGGAGGAAGGUGGGGACGACGUCAAAUCAUCAUGCCCUUUAUGUCCUGGGCUAUACACGUACUACAAUGGCCGUUACAACGGGAAGCGAAGGAGCAAUCCGGAGCAAAUCCCUUAAAGGCGGUCCCAGUUCAGAUUGUGGGCUGAAACUCGCCCACAUGAAGGCGGAAUUGCUAGUAAUUGCAGAUCAGCAUGCUGCAGUGAAUACGUUCCCGGGCCUU